rnacentral:rRNA from 1 species
UUUGACGACUAGAGAGCAGUGGAAAGACCUGAUCCUAUCCCGAACUCAGUAGUGAAACGAUGCAGCGGCGAUGGUAGUGUGGGGUUUCCCCAUGUGAGAGUAGGUCAUCGUCAAGA